rnacentral:rRNA from 1 species
UCUUCCCUCUUUCUUCGUGCUUAACACAUGCAAGUCGAACGGAAAGGCCCUGCUUUUGUGCGGUUCUCGAUUGGCGAACGGGUGAGUAUCACGUGAGUAACCUGCCCUUGAAUUUGGGAUAACUUCAGGAAACAGGGGCUAAUAUCGGAUAGGAGCUCCUGCUCCGUGGUGGGGGUUGGAAAGUUUCGGCGGUUGGGGCUGGACUCGCGGCUUAUCAGCUUGUUGGUGGGGUAGUGGCUUUCCAAGGCUAUGAAGGGUAGCCGGCCUGAGAGGGUGACCGGCCACAUUGGUACUGAGGUACGGCCCAGACGCGUACGGGAGGCAACAGGGGGGAAUCUUGCGCAAUGGGGGGAAGCCUGAUGCAGCAACGCCGCGUGCGGGAAGACGGCCUUCGGGUUAUAAACCACUUUCGCCUUAAACGAAGCGUGAGUGACGGUAACGAGUAAAAAAGCAACGGCUAACUACGUG